rnacentral:lncRNA from 1 species
GCUUCUUUGGUGGUGGUGGAGAGUGGUAGUAGGGCUUAGGGCUGACGUGAUGCACUGGUGGAGGAGGAGAGGAAUAUUUGUAUGGCUUCUUUGGUGGUGGUGGGGAAUGGUAGUAAGGUUUAGGGCUUAACAUGCACUGGUGGUGGAGGAGAAGAAUAUUUGUAUGGUUUCUUUGGGGGUGGUGGAGAAUGGUAGUAAGGUUUAGGGUGGACAUAUGGUGGAGGAGGAGAAGAAUACUUGUAAGGUUUCUUUGGUGGUGGUGGUGGUGAACUGUAAUGGUAGGGAGGAGGAGGUGUAUAAACGGUGGGGGUGGAGAGUGGUAGUAGUAUGGUUUCUUAGGUGGUGAGUACACUGGUGGUGGUGGUGAAGAGUAAUGGUAAGGUGGUUUAACUGGAGGGUACACCCCCGGUGGUGGGGAAUGUGGAGGGUACACCUUAGGUGGUGGUGGAGAACUAUAAUGGUAAGGUGGUGAGACUGGUGGAUACACCUCAGGUGGUGGUGAAUGUGGAGGGUAUUUCUUAGGUGGUGGUGGGGAAGAGUAAUGGUAAGGUGGUUUAACUGGUGGGUACACCUUGGGUGGUGGUGAAUGUGGAGGGUACACCUUAGGAGGUGGUGGUGAAGAGUAAUGGUAAGGUGGUGAAACUGGAGGAUACACCUUAGGUGGUGGUGAAUGAGGAGGAUACUUCUUAGGUGGUGGUGGUGAAGAGUAAUGGUAAGGUGGUGAAACUGGAGGGUACACCUUAGGUGGUGGUGAAUGUGGAGGGUACACCUUAGGUGGUGGUGGUGAAGGGUAGUGGUAAGGUGGGGAAACUGGAGGGUAGACCUUAGAAGGUGGAGGAGGUGAAGAAUACAAGUAGCUGUUUGCUGAAAUUUGAGAU